UGCCAGCCGCCGCGGUAAUACGGUGGGUGCGAACGUUAAUCGGAAUUACUGGGCGUAAAGCGCGCGUAGGCGGUUUUUUAAGUGGGAUGUGAAAGCCCUGGGCUCAACCUGGGAAUGGCAUUCGAUACUGCAGAGCUAGAGUAUGGUAGAGGGAAGUGGAAUUUCCGGUGUAGCGGUGAAAUGCGUAGAUAUCGGAAGGAACACCGGUGGCGAAGGCGGCUCACUGGGUCUCUUCUGACGCUGAGGUACGAAAGCUAGGGUAGCGAACGGGAUUAGAUA
rnacentral:rRNA from 1 species